AAAUCAUCUAAUAUCAAACAACAACUCCCUGGCAAAGCGCCAAAAACUUGAUGUGAGGCCCAACCGCAAGUGUACGGGUUGUUCAAGUAGUAUAGAAAAAGAUAUCGUUCUCACGAAGAGUUGUGUUUUCAAUUAGAUGAAGAGAUUGAAAAUUAAAGAGUAUAAUUGUUAAUUCAAUAAAAAAAUUGGUUGAAUAUAAAAUUUCACUAAAUUAUAAGAAAUAGAUUGAGCUAAAUGCAAUAUAGCAAGAAUAGUGCAAGUAAUUAAAAUCGAUUAAAAAUCAAUAAUGGUAAAAUGCGAUUCCUGAGUUAAUGGGUUCAUAUUUAAGCUAUUUUGGGAUUUCAAAUUGGUUAGCCAAACACAUGGAAAUUAAAGGUUUCAAGGAGAUUAAUUUUUAAAUCCUUUGAAUAUUCUUUUGAGUGAAACAAAGAGUGUCUUAAUUAACUCAAUCCUACUUUUGUGGCUUUGAAAUUAAUUAAGACCCAUUAGGUUUUUUUAAUCAAUCUGUUAAUCUUUUUAAUCCUUAGUCUAUUUUUAGAUCAAAGUUAAUUAAGUCCAAUUCAUUGUUUAUCUAUCACAAGGUUUUCUCCUUUCAGUGCUUCAACCAAGGAUUAUGAACAAUACUUGAUGGAAUCCUACACUAAGCAUGUCAUUAGGCACACAAGAAAUGGAUAAAAUCUCAUAAAAACCAUAAAAUAUGGAUUACCCAACUAAAAUUUAUAAAAUAUUUUAAAUAUUAUAUACUCAAACUCUAGAAUCUUAGAAAAAUUACUCACUAUCCAUAUUUAGUACAAGAAAUUCUAGGUAAAAGAGGAAAUAAAUCAUGAA
rnacentral:misc_RNA from 1 species